GCUAUAAUUAAUUUAGAUUGAGAUGCUGGUGUAGAUGUUGACAAGCUGCCAGCAGCCCUCGCACGGACAGAGAAGCAAGGAUACUUGUAAUCGUUCCCGUUGAGAAAUCUGGAUGCUGUAAAAGGCAAAGCGAGUAGGCGUACGAUCAUUUCGAGAAGUCAAAAGCUAACAAAGCGUGGUCGGAAUAAUAGACGCUCCUGUGGAGAAUAACCUAUUAGACAGCUCUUUGGCAAGGGUGUGAAAAACUUGAUAGGAAAGCCAAACAAUCCGAUUCGUAGUGAAGAGAUUAAAAUCUCGUAUAACACGCUAUGUUGAACAAGUAGCCCAAUCUACGUUUGAAGAUAAUUCUUUCCGAAUGGCAUUUAUUCAAAAAGAAAAAUCCGAAAGCGGGUGAAAGUUAGAGGUUUCAAGCCUCUUGUCUCAACGGGCAGCGGCGUUUGAGUCGUUGUCGGGCUUAACUGCAUUAGGGUAGCUCCUUAAUGCACGGGUUAAGUUCGGGUAUGGCCGAAGAUGAUGAGUCGGAUGAUUGUAGGGUGAACAAAAGCCCCUCAAUCUUUUUUUGUUGCA
rnacentral:sRNA from 12 species